rnacentral:rRNA from 1 species
AUGGAUAUCAGGGAGUCACCACGGUGCUGCCUUUGCUCAUCCCCUCGGGCCUCAUGCGCUAACUCGAGGAUGGCGCCGAUGGAUCGGCCAACUCCAUCCUGGCCGACGGCAAGGGCGAAUGCUGGUUUCCAAGGUGAGGUGGUUCUCCCAGUCAAUGAAGUGGUAUGGAGCAGCAAACCAUGGAUGAUUUGGAGGCUGCUUGGGCAUGAAGCAGUGAAACAUGAUAACAAUUUUCGCCGACCUUUGUUGCAGCUCCUCUGCCAUGCUUUUUUCUCCGAAGAGGAGCAACAGGUAAGGAGCGCAACCCUUCGUGCAUCAUGCUCCAUGGUGCAGCAGCCAGAACAGGCGACCACGGGCGAGCGAAUGGUUGAUCUGAUGCCAAGCUGA